rnacentral:lncRNA from 1 species
AAUUAAAUAUUCAUUCCAUUUUUAUUAUUAUAGCUUAGCCUAGAGAAUUAAGUAAACAUGUGUUACUUCACUCCUACACACCGUUUAAACGCAGCUAACAGGCUUUCUGAAUAAACCAGCCCGCCCCCGGCGGUAUCAGGAGUUAGGUUCCGCAUAUGCUGUCGCCAGGCUGCAGCCGCCUGAGGGGACUCGCCCGGGGCCCCGCCCUCAGAGCUCACACCCGCCGUGCGCUCGCGCCCCAGGGGCCGCCCCCCGACACUCCAGUGCGACUCUGCGUGCACAGGCCAGAGGCUCAGAACCAGCGCCGGGCUGCCCUGCUCGGCCUCCUGGGCGCAGCGGCGUUUGCCCGUGCACGUGCCCUCGCAUCGCGCGCUCCGGGGCCGGGCUCCGGGCGGUUCUCGCCGCUGCAGUUCCACCGGGACUUCCGCGCUUCGGCGGCCUGUCUGACGAGCCGCCGCGCCCAGAGAGGUUCAGGUUGGAGCGACACUUGCCAGAGGGCAGCGGUCACGCCAGAUCUUCGGCUUCCAUUCCGUUUUCGCGCGCUUCUCCCUCUUUGCAAGCUCUGGAUUCUCUUUGUUCUUUCCCAGUAGAGGAAUCCCAAGGAGGACUGAUCCGUUUUGGCAGGUGCACAACCAUGGAGUGAAAUCAUACAGUAUUUCUUUCUCUGUCUGACUUAUUUUGCUCAAGAUCCAUCCAUGUUGUCUCACAUGGGAGGAGUUUGUCUGUUUUUAUGGACUGGCCCUGAGCUCCAGCAUACUAUUGGCCAAGAACACAUGAUACCUGAUUUUCACUGAGGGGCUCAUUUAGAGAUGCUCCUUUUAUGUGGGACCCAGCGGUACUACCAGGAUGAGAAGUGCUCAAAGGAA